rnacentral:tRNA from 1 species
ACAUUGGUGGCUCAAUGGUAGAGUCCCUGCCUCCUAUGCAGGAGACCCAGAAUCUAUUCCCAGCCAAUGCA